CGGAAAUCCUUUGGUCCUCGGUGAAUUGGGAUGGUUGGUUACCCUAUUACUGAUGAUUGUAAUUCUCAGCGUAGUUUGGAACCAGCAGCAGCAGCAGCUCCCCAGACCUACUGAAUCAGAAUCUACAUUUUGAUAAGAGCCCAGGGUGACUCCAUGUACGUGAAAAAGUUUGAGAAGUCCUUAGACCUACAGUUCACAGCUUCUCCUUCUUUCUUAUUCAACUGAAUUGCAGUGGGACCUGAGUAUGGUUAAAA
rnacentral:lncRNA from 10 species